GUGACGCACUUCCGGCAGCGCCGGGAAGCCGCCCGCUACGGAGCUCCAGCCCUUCUCUGAGAGGGGGGACCAGGGGAUGGCAGCCAUGCACCUGACAGCCUGGCCCCAGUAGAUAUUCAGACUGACAAUGAUUUGACAAAGGAAAUGUAUGAACGAAAAGAGAAUGUAUCAUUUGAACUUCAAAGAGACUUUUCCCAGGAAACAGACUUUUCAGAAGCCUCUCUUCUAGAGAAACAACAGGAAGUCUACUCAGCAGGAAAUAUAAAGAAGGAGAAGAGCAGCACCAUUGAUGGAACAGUGAAAGAUGAGACAAGCCCUGUGGAGGAGUGUUUUUUUAGUCAAAGUUCAAACUCAUAUCAGUGUCAUACCAUCACAGGAGAGCAGCCCUCUGGGUGUGCAGGAUUGGGGAAAUCCAUCAGCUUUGAUACAAAACUCGUUAAGCAUGAAAUAAUUAAUUCUGAGGAAAGACCUUUCAAAUGUGAAGAAUUAGUAGAGCCCUUUAGGUGUGACUCUCAACUUACUCAACAUCAAGAAAACAACACUGAGGAAAAGCCUUAUCAGUGUUCGGAGUGUGGCAAAGCUUUCAGCAUUAACGAGAAAUUAAUUUGGCAUCAGAGACUUCACAGUGGGGAGAAACCCUUCAAAUGUGUGGAGUGUGGGAAAAGCUUCAGCUACAGUUCCCAUUAUAUCACACAUCAGACAAUCCACAGUGGGGAGAAGCCCUAUCAGUGUAAGGUGUGUGGGAAGGCCUUCAGUGUUAAUGGAAGCCUAAGUAGGCAUCAGAGAAUCCAUACAGGAGAGAAGCCCUAUCAGUGCAAGGAAUGUGGAAAUGGCUUCAGCUGUAGUUCUGCAUAUAUUACACAUCAGAGAGUCCACACUGGAGAGAAACCUUACGAGUGUAAUGACUGUGGGAAAGCGUUCAAUGUUAAUGCAAAAUUAAUUCAACAUCAGAGAAUCCACACUGGAGAGAAACCUUAUGAAUGUAAUGAAUGUGGAAAAGGCUUCAGGUGCAGCUCCCAGCUUAGGCAGCAUCAGAGCAUCCACACAGGAGAAAAGCCCUAUCAGUGUAAAGAGUGUGGAAAAGGCUUCAAUAAUAAUACAAAACUCAUUCAGCAUCAGAGAAUCCACACAGGUGAGAAACCCUAUGAAUGCACUGAAUGUGGAAAAGCCUUCAGUGUCAAAGGGAAGUUAAUCCAACACCAGAGAAUUCACACAGGCGAGAAACCCUAUGAGUGUAAUGAAUGCGGGAAAGCCUUCAGAUGUAACUCCCAAUUUCGGCAGCAUCUGAGAAUUCACACUGGGGAGAAGCCCUAUGAGUGUAAUGAGUGUGGAAAGGCCUUCAGCGUUAAUGGGAAACUAAUGCGGCAUCAGAGAAUUCACACUGGGGAGAAACCUUUUGAAUGUAAUGAGUGUGGGAGAUGCUUUACUUCUAAAAGAAACCUACUUGAUCAUCACCGAAUCCAUACUGGAGAAAAGCCCUAUCAAUGUAAGGAAUGUGGGAAAGCCUUCAGUAUCAAUGCCAAACUAACUAGGCAUCAGAGGAUACAUACUGGGGAGAAACCUUUCAAAUGUAUGGAAUGUGAGAAAGCGUUCAGCUGUAGUUCUAACUAUAUUGUACACCAGAGAAUCCAUACAGGAGAGAAACCCUUUCAGUGUAAGGAGUGUGGAAAAGCCUUCCAUGUUAAUGCCCAUUUAAUUCGGCAUCAGAGAAGCCAUACUGGGGAGAAACCCUUCAGAUGUGUGGAAUGUGGCAAAGGCUUCAGCUUUAGUUCUGACUACAUUAUACAUCAGACAGUCCACACUUGGAAGAAACCCUAUAUGUGUAGUGUGUGUGGGAAAGCAUUCAGGUUUAGCUUCCAGCUCAGUCAGCAUCAGAGUGUCCAUAGUGAAGGAAAAUCCUAAUAAUGAGAAAGAUAUAGAAAACUCUUAAGGUUAAUGCCAAAAUGGAUCAAGUAUCAUCAGAUUCAUCCAUUGAAAAACCCCCAAGAGGGCAUGAAUAUGGCAGAGUCUUCAUAUGAAAACAGUUUUUAUUCUAUUCAGUUUUAAUCAGGAAAGGAUGACCAGUUAAAGAGAAACAUCCAAAAAUAAAUAGCUUUGUUUUGUACCAACAGGAAUUAGAAAAUAUAAUGAAAAGAUUUUGUUCCCAGCAGCAUCAAGAAAAGUAGAUUUUCUAGAAAUAAACAGUUAUGGAGGACUUGUAUGGAGAAAUUUAAGUCUUCACUGAGGGCCACUUUACAAAGGAAAUUUGAAUAAAUAGAGAGAGAAGCCUUGUUGUUGGAUAGGAAAACCCAUACUAAAGAUACUCUACCUACAUUAAUUUAUUUGUUUAAUUUUUGACAACAAGCAUGUAUUACUUUUG
rnacentral:sRNA from 1 species